GUGAAUCAUCGAAUCUUUGAACGCAAAUUGCGCUUCCUGGUAUCCCGGGGAGUAUGCCUGUUCGAGGGUCAGUAUUAACAAAAAGUCGGGUUGGUUGCAAGUUGUGACGUUUCCGGGGGUUGGGCUAAUCUUAACUUGUUUGGUUAAGGGGCUUAAAAUUGACCUUUUUUGCGCAUUUUUAGUGGUAAAUAAAUUUUUUUUAUUCGUCUAUUCUUAAUUCCAAAAUCUUAUUAGAGACGAUCACAUCGUAUGGCUUGUU
rnacentral:misc_RNA from 1 species